UGGGGAAUUUUGCACAAUGGGGGCAACCCUGAUGCAGCGACGCCGCGUGAUUUAGAAGGCCUUCGGGUUGUAAAAAUCUUUUGUAUGGGAAGAAAAUGACAGUACCAUACGAAUAAGGACCGGCUAAUUACGUGCCAGCAGCCGCGGUAAUACGUAAGGUCCGAGCGUUGUCCGGAAUCAUUGGGCGUAAAGGGUACGUAGGCGGAUAAGCAAGUUAGAAGUGAAAUCCUAUAGCUCAACUAUAGUAAGCUUUUAAAACUGCUCAUCUUGAGGUAUGGAAGGGAAAGUGGAAUUCCUAGUGUAGCGGUGAAAUGCGCAGAUAUUAGGAGGAAUACCGGUGGCGAAGGCGACUUUCUGGCCAUAAACUGCCGCUGAGGUACGAAAGCGUGGGUAGCAAACAGG
rnacentral:rRNA from 1 species